CUGCUGGCUUCUCUGAGUUGAACGCACCGAAUUCACACACGGAGUGGUGCCUGGCUUUACUGAGGAGAAUACACUGAAGUCACAGACUGAGUGGUGCCAGAUUCUCUGAGGAGAUUGCACCGAGGUCAUAGACCAAGUGGUGUCCGGCUUUCCUGAAGGAGACUGCAUGGAUUUCACAGACUGAGUGCUGCUCGGCUUCUCUGAGGAGAAUGCACCAAGUGGUGUCCGGCUUUCCUGAAGGAGAUUGCAUGAAGUCCACAGACCAAGUGGUGACGGCUUCCCUGAGGAGAAUGCACGGAGUUCACAGACCGAAUGGGUGCUGGCUUCCCUGAGGAGAUGGUACCGAGGUCACAGACCGAGUGGUGCCCGGCUUCCACGAAGGCGAUUGCAUGGAGUCCACAGACCAAGUGGUGAUGGCUUCCCUGAGGAGAAUGCACCAAAAUCACAGACCCAGUGUUGGCUGACUUCCCUGAAGGAGACCGCACGGAAGUCACAGGCUGCGUGUUGGCUGGCUUCCCUGAGGAGAAUGCAACCAGGUCACAGACCAAGUGGAACGCAGCUUCUCUGAGGAGAAUGCACCGAAUUUACCCCAAGUGGUGCCCGGCUUCUCUAAGGAGAUUGCACUGAGGUCGCAGACUGAGUGGUAUCCAGCAUUUCUGAGGGGAAUGUACCUAGAUCAUAGACGGAGUGGAGCCCAGCUUUCCUGAAGGAGAUUGCAUGGAGUUCACAGAGCUAGUGGUGCCCCUCUUCUCUGAGGAGACUGCACCGAAUUCACACACUGAACGGUGCCGGGCUUCACUGAGGAGACUGCACUGAGGUCACAGACCAGGUGGAGCCCGGCUUCCCUGAAGGAGAAUGCACUGAAAUCACAGACCGAGUGGUGCCACCUUCUCUGAGGAGAAUGCACUGAGGUCACAGACCGAGUGAUGUCCAGCUUCCCUGAAGGAGAUUGGUUGGAGUUCACAGACCGAGUGGUGCCGCCUUCUCUGAGGAGAAUGCACUGAGGUCACAGACCGAGUGGCGCCAGCUUUUCUGAAGGAGAUUGCAGGGAAGUCACAGGCUGAGUGUUGGCUGGCUUCCCUGAGGAAACUGUAACCAGGUCCCAGACCUGGUGUCCAGCUUUCCUGAAGGAGACUGCGCCGAGUUCACAGACCGAGUGGUGUCGGCUUCUCUGAGGAGAUUCCACCAAAGUCACCGACCAAGUGGUGCACAGCUUCACUGAGGAGACUGCACCCAGGUCACAGACUGAGUGAUGUCCGGCUUCCCUGAAGGAGAUUGCACCAAGUUCACAGAGCAAGUGGUGUCGCUUUUCCUGAAGGAGAUUGUGCUGAGGUCACAGGCUGAGUGGUGUCCAGAUUUCCUGAGGAGAAUGCACCAAGGUCACAGACUGAGUGGCGUCCGACUUCCGUAGGGGAGAGUGCGCUGAGUUCACACACUGAGUAGUGUCUGGCUUCUCUGAAGGAGAAUGUGCUGACGUCACAGACCUAGCGGUGCUUUUGUAUCACUCUCCGCUGGUGAUUCUUCGCCUGUCUGCAGGGUUCUCACUGCCGUUUCUGCCUGACAAACUCCUACUUAUUCAACACCUCCCAGCUCACACUCAACUUCUCUGCAGAAGCUUCCAAUUCCUUAUCCCGCCUGUCUGCAGGGUUCUCACUGCCGUUCCUGCCUGACAAACUCCUACUUAUUCAAUACCUCCCAGCUCACACUCAGCUUCUCUGCAGAAGCUUCCAAUUCCUUAUCCCUCUGCCAAAGUUACUUGUUCUCUUCUCUGAGCUGUUUUGCACUUUGUUCAUGCUUUGGGUGGUAGUUUUGAAGUCGGUCCUCCCGUGGUGACUUCUUCAGGGCAGCCUGUGCACCAUGUGUUUUUAAUUCCACAGUGGCCCGGGUCCCCCUAGGGCAGGGGGUCCCCAACCCCCCAGGCCAUGGACCACUAUCUGUCCCUGGCCUUUUAGGAGCUGACCUGCACAGCAGGAGGCGAAUGGUGGAGGGCGAACAAGUGACGCUUCCCCUGUAUCUACGACUGCACCCCAUCACUCGCAUUACCACCUGAGCUCUGCCUCCUGUUAGAUCAGCAGUGACACUAUAUUCUCAUAGGAGCUCAAACCCUGCUGUGAACUGCGUAUGUGCGAGAUCUAGGUUGUGCGCUCCUGCUGAGAAUUUAAUGCCUGGUGAUCUGCCACUGUCCCCCAUCAUCCCCAGAUGAUACCAUCUAGUUGCAGGAAAACAAGCUCGGAACUCCCACUGAUUCUGCAUGACACUUCCGGCUGCUCAAAAUUAUAUUGGUGACUUAAAAGAAGUACCGGAUGAUGAGAAAUCACUACACAAUAUUGUGAUUGAAACUUGUUCCCUGUCAACAACUACAAGGCACAGAGAAACGUGACUGAGGAAUUCUGAACUGUUGGAGGGUGUUGAGAGCAAAGCAACACUAUUAAUCAUUGCAUGAUUCUGAAGUUAUUUGACGUUGGGAUGGAAGUGUUCAUGUUUUUGGAAUGACUUUUGAAAAUAGAAAAAAAUGUUUAUUAUCCAGUAUUUCAACUCUCCUUUAAGGCAUCAAAAAUGUUUUAAUAGAAAUAAGUUAUAUUUCAAACACCAAGAUGCUUUUCAAUAUUUAUAACUUUUAAAUACCUUGCAAAAAUAUAAAAUAAGAGUGGGAUCAGGAAAAGAGUUAAAGCAUUUCUAACUUUGAAUCAUUUUAAAAUAUGUUUACUUGGAGAUCAAUGAGCUCCAGAGAAAUUCUCUCUCAAGAUGUUCAAAGCUUUGAAGAUAUUAUUGGCUAUGAGGCACGGUGAAAGUAUGCAGUACCUGUUCAAUUACGAACCUGGCUCCCUAACAGGUCCUUAUUGAAGAAUGUUGAUUUCAUUUUCUAACCCGCACAUUCGUCUCAUACCAUCAAAAGGUAGCACCUUCUGCAGCUGCUUUCAGAAAAAAUGCCAACAAACGCCAAGCAAAUCACUGUUUUGAUGAGAUUUUAUGCAGAAAUUCUUAGGGCCCCAAGAAGACCUAGAGUAAUUGUGGGUGGCAUUUAGCUUUGAAAGUAUUUCUUAAAGUGUAUGAUAAUUUUUGCAAAGUAAGUGAAACAUUUAGUCUUCCGUCAUUAUGAUAAAUUAUAUAAUAUGGG
rnacentral:lncRNA from 1 species